GGGUAGGUCGCUCAGUCUGGUAGAGCGCCUGCUUUGAAAGCAGGUGGCGUCAAGCCUCCAGGGUUCGAAUCCCUGUCUACCCG
rnacentral:tRNA from 1 species